rnacentral:lncRNA from 10 species
UCGCAGAGUAGGAAAGUCCCUGUUGCUCUAUAUUGUUGCCAACGUGUUCUCAGGUGUUGUUAUUCUAAAGCUAUGUACAGGUAUGUCUGGGGCACGAAGAAUGAAGUGAUUAUCUCUGCAGGUCCUCCUGUUUUCAAGGAGACUUUGAAUAAAGCAGAAAUAAUGAGCACCUGAACCAAGGCAUCAACACGGGGCUGGAGAGGACUAGAAGCACUAAUAAAGUCCAAUCCACAGCUGUUAUUAAAACUGUAAGCGGGAGGAUAGAGGUCCUAUUUCAUGACUGAGGAGCUUUGGUGGAUACUACAGCCACACAUUUGGAUGGAAGGUAGACGACCGGAUAAUUCUUGUGCUCUGAAUGGAAGCAGUUUAUUGAGCUUCCUCCCACCCCAGUACAAUAAAUGAAGAGACUCACAAGAUUAAGGAGUGAUAAGAGUACACCGCUUCAAAAAAAAACAAAUCCUGUGCAAGGGGAAUAGUGAGCAAAUGAGGUCUGAUCCUUUCAAAGGCGGGAGACAGGAAUUCUGUUUGCAUGUUACCAGAGAUGUCCAAAUGCCUGUCACUUUUUCCUUAAUGUGGACUGAGAAAGAGAGAGAGAGAGAGCUUUCUGGUGUGUCAUCCUACAAGGACACUGCUCCUGUGGGGUCAGGGCCCCACCUCCAUGACCCCAUUGAGGUUUAAUUGCUUCCUCAGUGGCCUUGCCUCCAAAUACAGCCAUGCUGGAGGUCAGGGCUUCAACAUAUGAAUUUUGUGGGAACACAGACAUUGAGUCCGUAACAUCAUGGCUACUCAGCUCCAUCUCCCCAAGGUGUUUGUUGUCCAACGCUAACAUAGGAGUCAAUUGAUAUCCUUGAGCUCAAGUGGCAUGACCGGGUGGCUGGGCAUCCAGUCUCAUGAUAGACAAUUGUAUUACACCAAAAUAACUUUUAACACCAGCAAAACAGUCAUGAACUAGAGAUGAAUAAAGAUAAAAAUAACCCACACAAUUUGUAAAAAUAAAGUUCUUCCUCUGAAUCAUCUAGGGGAAAGUAAAGGAGGGAACGUUUUUGUGUGUUCUAUGUGAUGGCAUUUAUGGGUCCAGGGCCUG